UGGACCCUGCUGUGUCCGUGAUGCUGCAAGAGGUUUUGAGCCAACACUUUGAAUAGGGGGUCCUAGCUUCAUUGGGGGACGCGAUAGGCUACGGCCAAGGUGGAACCCAAGGGCAGAGCCCCACCUGCGAAUGCAGGUUCAAAACGAUGCAGCACACGCCAUAGCGGGGUGUCU
rnacentral:other from 2 species